GAAAUGCGAUAAGUAGUGUGAAUUGCAGAAUUCAAUGAAUCAUCGAAUCUUUGAACGCACAUUGCGCCCCUUGGUAUUCCAUGGGGCAUGCCUGUUCGAGCGUCAUUUGUACCCUCAAGCUCUGCUUGGUGUUGGGUGUUUGUCCCGUCUCCGCGCGUGGACUCGCCCCAAAGUGAUUGGCAGCCGGCGUACUGGUCCCGGAGCGCAGCACAUGUCGCGCAAACGAGUGCCUUGGUACGGCGGCGUCCAUAAGCCCCUCUCUCACGCUCUUGACCUCGGAUCAGGUAGGGAUACCCGCUGAACUUAAGC
rnacentral:misc_RNA from 1 species